GGCGCAGUCCGCGGCAGGGUUCCGGCCGUGCUGCGGUCCGCACGCUGCGCCCGCUCCCGCCUGCCUCCCGCCCUACCCCCCACCCUCCCCGGCCGAGGCCCGGCGCCGGUCCGUCCGCGGGCCCGUCCCACCGCCCUGGAGCACCAUCCGGGGCCGUGGGCCGGGCACCGGGCGCGGCCCGCUCCGGACCUCGGCCGGGGGUCCCUCCCCUCCCCCCGCUCGACCCCCCAUCCGACGGCCCGGCCGGGCUGGGACCCCCGCACCGGGGUCCCGGUUCCCGUCCGCGGCCCGGGGGGACCCGAGCGGGGGCUUCCCACCCCCACCCCGCUCCUCCCCGGGCUCCGGCCCGGGAUCCCUCGCUGCUCCCGGCGGCCUCCGCCGGCUUCCCGGUCCACCCGCCGCGGAACGGACGGGACCCGGGGUCCGCGCCCUUCCCCUCCCCCCACGGGGGGCUGGGUCGCGGACCCCGGUUCCUAGGCUCGUUCCGCGGUGGGCGACCGGGGAUCCCCCACCCCGCUCCUCCCCGGGCUCCGGCCCGGGAUCCCUCGCUGCUCCCGGCGGCCUCCGCCGGCUUCCCGGUCCACCCGCCGCGGAACGGACGGGACCCGGGGUCCGCGCCCUUCCCCUCCCCCCACGGGGGGCUGGGUCGCGGACCCCGGUUCCUAGGCUCGUUCCGCGGUGGGCGACCGGGGAUCCCCCACCCCGCUCCUCCCCGGGCUCCGGCCCGGGAUCCCUCGCUGCUCCCGGCGGCCUCCGCCGGCUUCCCGGUCCACCCGCCGCGGAACGGACGGGACCCGGGGUCCGCGCCCUUCCCCUCCCCCCACGGGGGGCUGGGUCGCGGACCCCGGUUCCUAGGCUCGUUCCGCGGUGGGCGACCGGGGAUCCCCCACCCAGCUCCCCUUCCCGGCUCGCCCCGCUGGCUUUUGGGCCCCUCCGGGCUUUUUUUCCGGCUGGGGGUCGCGGCGGCCGGCCGACGACGGUAGGUGGGCCGGGCGGACGGUGGUGGGGACGGGCGACGCCCCGGCUCGACGGCAGUCGGCCCCGGAGGGUUGGGGGCUGGGGGCCCGGUCAGGAGCUCCGGGAGCGGGGUCGACCGCGACGGCUUCCGGGUCUCGCGGCGGCUCCCUCUCGGCGGCUCCGGUUGGGCUCCCCUCCCCCCUCUCGAGGGUCCGGUCGCCGGUUGUGGUCGGGGGUCCCUCGGCCUAGCCGCCGGCUCUCGGUCCGCCUUACCCUGGGCGUUGGCCGGUCCCGUGACGCUCCCCUCCCCCGCUGCUCCCCAAAAACUCCGCCCGAACCGUCGCGGUUUGCUGGCCCUGGGCGUGGUCUCCCCACUCCCCUCCCCCCAUCGGCCGCCCAGCCGGGGUCGGCGCCUCGGACCCCACCAGGCUGUGGCGUGUGUGCUGGCCGAUGCGGCGGCGAGGUUGGGUGUGGCCGGAAGCGCUCGGGGUCGACGGUGGGCCGCCAUGACACCUCAAUUGCCGUCAGUACGCCCCUCCACAAUCACCGUCCCCACACGAUGGGCCCGGCAGUUCACCCAACGUUGGUUCAGGCCCAGUCGGGUUUUUCCCCGGUACGAACGCACGUCCCCGUGGGCUCCACGCGUUUUCCACCCUUUCCUGGAGGGGUCCGGAACACCGUGAAUCCACGGGGAGGGUCCCGGCACGGGCCGAGGAGACCACGACCGUCCCACCCGGCGUGUCGACUCGUCCGAGACCCGGGAAGGGAACAGGCCCCACCUUUUUUCCCUUCUCCGAUUUGCCGUGGAAAACCCGUGAACCGAUACGGGUGCAGACGGCCGAAAAAAUUCGAGACGGCAAUACGACGGCAGGGCGUGAUUUUCUCCCCCACCCGACAAAACCGUGUCCCUCAAAAUUCCCCACCUUUCUCUGUUCAAAUGGCCCCGAAACUGUAAAACACCGUUUGACCGCACCCCAACCGGCGCCAUCUUGGUGACCUUCUCGACGGUUCUCUCGCUCGUCAUGCCGUUCUGAGCUCCGACAUGGCGGACGAGAGAAAAUGGCGUCGAGAGCCGAGGAGCGUUUUCGCUCCAGGCGGGUAAAAAAAUAGCACGAUAACUUUUCUGUGCUUUUUUGAGACGUUUUUGAAGAGCUUUUUUUCUGCUCAGAGCGAAAAAAUGAUAGCCCUGAAAAUCUCGACGAGUCUGGCCGAGCGGCGCCAUCUUGGAGGAGGGGCGAGUCGCGGGCACCGCCUCGGUACCCCCUGGCCGAGGCGAGUCCGCGGUCGCCGCCUGUUCCGUGAUGCUACCUAGAGGGCGCCGUCGAGGCGACUCUUCCUGUUUUCGCCCUGAGGGCUAACGGUCGCUGACGUCAAACCAUCUCGUGCUCGCUGAGUCACAUCCGGUUGUUGACAAGCGAUGGAGGACCGCACCCAAAGUGCGCCCUCUAGUCAUCGCGCCUGACCCCUUUUAUAAACUGCUCGAAGAAAAGAACACCUUAUGUGAAAAAAUACAGAAUGAUGACAAGUUCAUUCAACACAACCGCUCAACAACGCCAUAUCUAUCAGUGUCCAAAAACUAUCUUCUAUCCUUUGAAACUAUAAAUGCUGCCUAUAUACAUAUUUAGUAUCCAAGACUCUUACCACGUAGACGAAAAGAAGUGAUACAAUGAUCUUGACGUGUAUCGUCUAUAUCGUGCUAGAUAUAUUCAGAUAAGACGCGCAAACCAUAGAUUUCUCAUCAGUAUCAUGAAAGACCUAUAGCUCUAUAUACGAACCUAGUCAUUUUAGGACAGCCGCCGGAGAAGCCGACGAGGGAUCGGGCGGGUGCAGCCAGAACCUCACGCCCGAUCCCGCCUCCGGUAGGCGAUUUGCAUCUGUUUGGUAAAAAGCUCAUAAGUCUGUAUGUGACCUAUAUAUAUAUUAUACGCUAUGUACACCGAACUGUCGCUGUUGUAUAAGAAGAAAAAACUCUCCAUAUUUAUAUCGUCUGAAUUUUUGCUUGAUAGACACGUGUUUGGAACUCUGUCCCCCCACGUUUUCACUGUGUAUAACAAAAAUAUGUGUUUCUCAAAAGAUCUUGAGGUGUUUGAAAACGGGGGAAACCUGCGUUUGGGUGCGCUAAGCCCCGGACUGGGACGUAGCCGGCGUCCGGCACCUAUAUUUUUCUAUUUUUUUUUUACAAAAUAUAUGAUGAACCAAGAAUAAAACUCUAGCUCUCGUCUAUUUUUAAUAUGCUCUACUUAGAACCUUUUUAAUGACAGAAUGAACUCCAUGUUAUACGCUCUUUAUAUAGUUUCUCUGCACUAACCUUUAAAACCGUAUCCUUCCCUGUUGUACAAAUCAUCUUUUGAUACACAAUGAUGACCUGAUAUCCCUCCAUAUAUAUGAUCGGAUAUUAUUCCGUUAGACUUGUCCUCCUUUUUUUUCCUCAUCUCCUGUAUCUGGAGAUAUAUGUUGACCACCACCGCCAUGACCACCAAAAAGCUAGCCGUCACGACUAGAAAUGUGUAGGAUUCGGACUUUCCGUUUGAGAAGAAAGAGACCGCGUCUCUGGACGCUCUUUUUGUCGGUCUGAAUCGACCCGGGAUACGUAAGAGAGCGGCCCUACAUCGGGGGGCGCUCGAGACCGACGACGUUCCAUCUGACCAGAAAAAAAAAGGCACCCCUCGGUGGCGACCUCUCACCAUCGUUUGCCCGUCCGCCCGUCCUUCGUAGCCAUCAUCAUCAUCUCAGGCUCUAUCGGUACCAUCGUUGUCAUCUGAAAAAAAAAACUGCCUCACCCACCUGCGUAAAAACACCAUCUUUCCGGAGGUGCGGUAAGACGGGCAAAUACGGUCGUGCCGAGGCAAAAAAACGCACCAUCGACACCACACCCUCAUGAGCACCACCUGUCGGUGUUGGUCGUCCUCCAUCGUUCUCUACGAACAUCUCGACGCCCGGGUGACGGACGACGGCAAGACGUCCCGGAGAAGACGGUGUUCUCUCGGGCGGUACGCUCUCUGGAUCUAUAAUAUCUAUAGUAGCUAAACGAGACUGUGAGUACGACGAACCACAUCAUCUUUUUUUUAUGUUGCUUCUUUAGAAAAUGACUUAUGUCGACGACACUCGGCAUCAGCCAUCUCGUGAAACACGCUCGCUUUUCGUCUCUCCAAGGAACACUGGGUCCGCUGAAAGGGACCGUGUACCGACCAAAGCAAAAAACACACACGUAGUAACAUGAUCAACCACGUCUGAAUGACACGAAAACACAAUCGUAUAACGCUCUAUUCAUGGAACGAACUUGGAAUAAAAAAACCAUCGCAGGCCAGAGGCUAAGCCGAAACCGUCCGGGGAAGCGGGCGCGAGUUUUCCGACUUAGUCUCUGGUGCUCGUUGAGCCUCUUUUUUUUUUCCUGAUUCUCUGAAGAAUCACCGUCACAGCCCUAUGACGCGAAAUCAAUUGCUAGAACAUAAACGUUCUCAACAGGUAUGAAAUGAACAAACUAGAUGAUGCUAUAACCUUAUAUUGUGUGUAUAUAGAUAGGUGUGAAAUUUGUAGGAUAAAAAGUGUCGUUGUAUGAUGCACAACGAUCGUGAAACUGGAGACUGUAGCUCUCUACCGAAUGCAAAUACACAAAUGACAUCGAUUCCCGUCCCCACAUAAAGAAAUGUGCUUUACUGUGAAAGAAUGAAGAAGAUUCUUGUUCCUCGUACGACGGGGCCCUCGCUCGUCGUGCCUCUUCCCCCCUCCGGGAGAGGGGACGUCGGGGCCCUCCGUCGCACCGGGCCGAAGCCAGUGAAAUGUUUACUACACUGUCAUCAGAAUAUAUGAUGUAUAUUAUUUCCUCCAAACUCCUCACCAUAGCCACCAAUUCGCAUCACUUAAGAAAGUAGUAGCAACCGCGGCGGCGGCGACCGGCCGGUCGUCGUCUCCUCGUCCUCAAAUGUUGUACAUGUGCAGAAAAAUGUGUAAAUACGUGUUAUUUAUCCCAUGCGUCUUGUACAUAGAUAUAUGUUUUUAUAUACGCUAUUUAUACUUUAUAUAUCCUUUUGCAUAACCAUAGACAGUCAAGGAUUUUAAUGAUUUGCUCAUCCGCCUUUGAGCCAUCGCUUAGGAGUUAGUUCCUCUAUGUUCUCGGCCCACCUUUUCGACUACAGUAGCAAACCCUUGUACUACCACCCCGAUAAAAACCACAUCAUCAUCGUCACCACGACCUGGAAACGACACACGUUCCCCCCCAAUCUUGGGCAUGUGUAUAUAUAAAAAGAAUGGGAGGGAGAGGACGUGGGGCUCGAGAAGAAAUAAACGCCAAGCUCGAUUCGAACC
rnacentral:lncRNA from 1 species